rnacentral:tRNA from 1 species
GCAUUGGUGGUUCAAUAGUAGAAUUCUUGCCUUCUGUGCUGGAGAUCCAGGUCCAAUUCCUGGCUAACACA